rnacentral:lncRNA from 1 species
CUUUCCUAAAAACCCUGUAGUUUAGAUAACUCCGGGCAACCCACAAAGAGUGAGUGUUUGGAAUUCGUAAAGAGAUAAACCUGUCGCCAAUCGAUAUCAAAACAGCUUCUGAUUAGAGUUUGUAAAGGGGUGUUUAAAAAUCCUUUUUGGGCUAUUGGGAACGGAGUUGUCAAAAGCAUUCUUACUAUGAACUGUUUAACUGGAUAGUUGUGAUUAUCUUCAGAAAUAAUGUUAUUUUUGUUUCGUUUUACGUUAAGUUUGGAAGUCAAGGAUGUCAAAAAAUUGAUGGUCAUAAAUCCAUACUUCCAAGCUUAUUCAAGUAUAAAGUAUUUUCCUCGUCUUCACGAAAAUGAAACCAAAAAAAUUAUACAGUGAUGUUCCAAAGUCUCGAAUUGAGGGCAAAGUCGAAAAAAUGAUAGAAGAAGAUGUAUAUUCUUCAGAUUCUGAGGAUGAAAAUGAUUUUU